rnacentral:rRNA from 2 species
UUCGCAAUGCCCGAAAGGGUGACGAAGCGACGCCGCGUGGGUGAGGAAGGCCUUCGGGUUGUAAAGCCCUGUCAGGAGUUAAGAAUGUAAGUGUGCUAAUAUCGCAUUUACUUGACGAAGGCUCCAAAGGAAGUCACGGCUAACUCUGUGCCAGCAGCCGCGGUAAUACAGAGGUGGCAAGCGUUGUUCGGAAUUAUUGGGCGUAAAGAGCACGUAGGUGGGUUUGUAAGUCAGAUGUGAAAGCCUCCUGUUCAACGGGAGAAUUGCAUCUGAAACUACUGAUCUUGAGUAUAGGAGGGGAGAAUGGAACUUCUGGUGGAGCGGUGAAAUGCGUAGAUAUCAGAAGGAACGCCGGCGGCGAAAGCGAUUCUCUGGCCUAUUACUGACACUCAGUGUGCGAAAGCUAGGGGAGCAAACGGGAUUAGAUACCCCGGUAGUCCUAGCCGUAAACGAUGGGCACUAAGUAGAGGGGUUUU